AGAGACCCAAAACCUAAAUCCCUAACUAAAACACGCACUGUUCCUCUUCUCCAAAUCGAAUCCAGCCCUAUUUCAGCCUAAAUCCAUGGCGAGUGACUCCACACUCAUAACCACACGUUCCUCCUUCUCUCCUCAUCACCAUUUCUAACAGUUUCUGACACCGAAGAUUCUCCUUCCUUUCGCUUGAUCGAUUUUGAGAUAAGGCACGCGAUUGGAAGGUCCUAAAGACGAUUCGUUGGAUGAGUGUGAGACGUUGGAUUGUUUUCGUUCAAUCCGAGCCCCACAUUCAUCAGGGGUUCGUUUUUAUAAGGGAUCAGAUCCAAUUUUGAAGAGGGAGGAUAUUUUCAGAGGGACUUGGGAAAAUUUCAACAGAGAGGAUCUUGGGAAGAGAUUUGAGAGAUUUCUUUUCUCCAUUUUAUUUGUUCCUUCAAUUCUGAUACUAAAAAAGCAGAAAAAGAAUCAUUGAGUUUUUUUUUGCUGUUUCAUUUUCAUGGCGACCAUUGUUUAAAUCUUCUUUUUUUUUUCAAAUCUCUAGAACUCAUCUUCUUCAUUUUGAUUCUAGAUUUUAGUUUAAAAAAUGGAAAUCAUUUGAAAAGUUUGAGGCUGUUGCUGCUCAAGGACUAAUUUAGCUGCUAUUUGCUUCCUCUUGGUCGAUUUCAAUGUUGUACUAAUUCAGUUUCUCAACUCCAGGUUCAUUUCUCUUCUUCAUUUUAGUUCCCAUUGUAAAUCGAUCUCUGAAUGAGCUAUAAAUGGGUUGAAGUUUGAAAUAAUGACUGAGAUUUGUGUAGUUAUCGUAGGUUCAUCUUGCUGCUCUGUUUUAUUUUUUUUAUUUGUAUCAGCUUCUUCUAUGAUUUCAUAUGUGUACUAAGGAAUGUUUGUAUGAUCCUCUAGUCUCAGAAUCCAUCGAAACAUGUGAUUUGUGUGCUCGUCUGCCUCUUCUGUCAUUGUCCAGCCAUAGUCGAUUUCUUUUUUGUGUGUAAAUGUUUAGGGGUUGGUUCUCAAAUGGCUUGAAGAUUAACUCUGCUCAUUUUCUUUGUAGUGGACAGUCAAAAUUGGUUUGAUUGGUGGUCGACUGAGUUUGAGUGGCUCGUGUGUUUGUUUUCAUGCUUGUUUGUGUACUGGUCGCAAAUCAGUCGAGUUUGUUAGUUUAGUUCAUACACUCGUGCUGAAAAUGCCCAGACUAUCUUGGCACAUGUUUUCCAAUUCGUUUUCACCUUUGAAUGAGAUCAUAUCAUCUUAGCUCUCAAGCAUUUUUAGUUAGUUGGAGAAAACUCGGUAAUGCCCUGUUUCUCAGCAGAUUCUGUGAAAAUUUUAAAGGCUGGAUAUUCGGAUGUCUUUCAUGCUUGGUUCCUUUACUAUGCAAACUUCUGAGAUUUGAAAUUCAUCUGAACCAAGUAUGGUAAUCGAUUUGCUAGAAUCCGGGUUGCUUGUUUGAUGAAAUUAAACUAAUUCCCGUUACUGUUUCCCUCUGUUAAGAAAACAUCAAUAUGACCCCUCUUUGGUCAUGCUUUGAGUGAACUUUCAGCAUCCAUGUUGGAGGUUCAAAUGAAUGAUGUUUGAGAUCUUAUCAAAUGUUUGGUUUCUGCUUCAUAAUUGAUACCCAAAGCAGCCUUAGCUUGUUUAACGAUACUCAAACCAGUAUCAAAUGCUAAUUGGGUUUUGGCUGUUAUUCCAGCUGCAAGUGAUGAUUGAAGUUGAGCUGUUUCUUUGAAUGCGCAUAUGUUGGAUCAUUUUGAUUUUUUUUCUCUGGUUGAAACCUCCUCAGAUUCUAAGAGCCAGAUGGAUGAUUCAUUCUCUCGUAAUUGAAAGAGUUCUUGCAUGAUUGCUAUAUUUGAAUGCAGAUUUGAAAUGGUUUUAAUUGUCCUUGCAAAUGGAUCAAGUCUGCUUUGUUUUCUUGUAAAUAUUUAGCUGCAGUUUGGUUUUUUUAGCAUCAGUUGGAUGAAAUGCUCGGAAGCUUCUUUACUGAUUUUCCUUUGCCUUAAUAUAGACACUAGUUGAAUCAUCUUGCUUUCUGUAAAUCUUAGUGUUGGUUAAGCUUUAAGCUAAAGGUUCUCAUGUUGCCUCAUCUAUUUGAGCUUCACGUCUAGAUGUUGACAGUUAAAUCAUUCUUAAGAAACUAAAUAUUUUGUAGUCUUCCACUCUCAGUUUCUCUUUGUCCCUUUGGCAUAGUAUUUUGGCAGGAGUGUUUAUCUUAUUCAGUUUGAUUUAUUAGGCAAUGAAGCAGCGUUCUGCUAAUGAACAGCUCACCAAACCUUCUUUGGCAAUUAAUUUCUCAAGUUUGCUUGUUGUUGCUGAUGCGUGCUGGGGCAAUUUUUUUUUUACUUAAUAAUCUGGGCUUGUGUAUUGGACUGUCUGCUUAAAGUCAGAAUGCAAUUUAGCGAGUGAUAUAUAGAUGUAAUGUCGGUCUCUC
rnacentral:lncRNA from 1 species